CGCGUAGGCGGCUGGAUAAGUCAGAUGUGAAAGUCCACGGCUCAACUGUGGAAGUGCAUUUGAAACUGUCCGGCUUGAGUAUCGGAGGGGAGUGUGGAAUUCCCGGUGUAGAGGUGAAAUUCGUAGAGAUCGGGAGGAACACCGGUGGCGAGGGCGACACUCUGGACGAAUACUGACGCUGAGGCGCGAAAGCGGUGGGGAGCAAACA
rnacentral:rRNA from 1 species